rnacentral:rRNA from 1 species
AUUGAACGCUGGCGGAAUGCUUUACACAUGCAAGUCGAACGGCAGCACGGGUGCUUGCACCUGGUGGCGAGUGGCGAACGGGUGAGUAAUGUAUCGGAACGUAUCCAAUAAUGGGGGAUAACCAAUCGAAAGGUUGGCUAAUACCGCAUACGCCCUACGGGGGAAAGCAGGGGAUCUUCGGACCUUGCGUUAAUGGAGCGGCCGAUAUCUGAUUAGCUAGUUGGUGAGGUAAAGGCUCACCAAGGCGACGAUCAGUAGCUGGUCUGAGAGGACGACCAGCCACACGGGAACUGAGACACGGUCCAGACUCCUACGGGAGGCAGCAGUGGGGAAUUUUGGACAAUGGGGGCAAACCUGAUCCAGCCAUUCCGCGUGAGUGAAGAAGGCCUUCGGGUUGUAAAGCUCUUUCGCAAGGGAAGAAACGAUACAGUCUAAUAAACUGUGUUAAUGACGGUACCUUGAUAAGAAGCACCGGCUAACUACGUGCCAGCAGCAGCCGCAG